CUCACAGGUAAGUGCCCCUAGAGAUGCAUCUCUAGUCCUCUUGUGAUAAUAAUAUACAACAAAGAUUAAUUAGGAAGCUCCCUUUCUAGUGUUAAAAUGAAUUCUUCAAGGAGGUCCAUUUGAAAGGGCUCAGAUGUUAUGUGCCAUGUCAUAGCUCUUCACUGAACAGGUCCGAAGGUAAUCAUUUCUAAGAAAAGAUGAAAGGAGCUCAACAUGUGGGGACUGAAAAAUAAUGACAAGUCUAGAGAACAGGCCAGAUAAAAGGAGGGUAAAGGGCAUUGUCAGCGUGCCACACGGAGGCUUUGGUUCAAUCGGUGCACACGGGAAGAAAUGAUGAAAAAGCACACAAAGAGCACACUGUGCCUUCAUUCCCCACGUGCCUUGAUAAACAGUGGGCAGGGAGAUGAAGGCCCCUGUUCCCCGGAUAACUUGCUGUGCGGGAGGAGCACCUCUCUCCCUCCCUGGCUCACUUUCCUUUCUCUCUCCUCAGCUAUCUUAAUUUGUUUUUCACAUUCUCCAAAGUAUUAUCACAAUUUCUUCCUUUUUUAUACACCUUUAAUAUUUCUAUUUCAUCUCAGACCUGAUACAUCCAGGUUUUUAGCUAAAUGUGCUGUGUGUGUGUGUGUGUGUGUGUGUGUGUGUGUAUUUCAUUAAGCAGAAUUUAGUCUGUGGAUUGUAUAUUUCAGAGGCAGCUCAGCUCUGUGUGUUUCAGCUUCUCUUCCCCUGGUACACUGAGCUCUGGCCCCAGGCUCAGGCUGCCUGUGUAUGACAGGUAUAAGGCCAGCAUUCUGUGAUUCACCUGGAAUACACAAGUCCCCCUUCUUCCUCAUUUCUGUGCCUCUCUGGAGGGAACCCUGGCAGCCCUUGCCUUAGUUUCUGGGACAAUCCAGGCAGCUCUCCAUCACUGGAGAACACCAGAUGGAAUGGAUGGAGGCAAUUUUGCAGAAAGUGCUUUAAGAGCAGCUUCCUCAGUGGUCUUUCCAGCUGGAAGCAGAGCGUCCAGAAAGCACCGCAUUCUCAGCCCUGUUUCAUCGCCUCAAGAGCUACAGAUGGCUUCCCCAAGCACCUGAAGUCGGUGCUGCUUGCCUGGAUUGGAUAAGCUGCAAGCUGCAGAAAUUCUUUUGUCUUUUACAGUGCAACUCAGACUCCAGUUUCUUUCUGCCUUGAGAGUGAAAGAAAGGAGACGAUACAAAGUAGGAAAGAGCCAGAAGGUGGAGAAAUUAAUGUUUAAUGCUUGAUACUCCCUGGGCCUGGCCAGCUGCUCAAAAAAGUUGGAUUCUGAUUAGUUCCCAUCAGCAGAAGUAGCCGAUAAGGGAUGGAAAAGCUGAGGCUCAAAAGGCAUUUGUAGAUCCUGGCUGAUGGAUAUAAGGAAGGCAUGAACUAUAAUAGUUGAACAAGGAAAUGAACUUGAACCAAAUUGUGAAGUUCUCUGCAGUGAAAUAUUAAAGCUCUUCUGAAAGGACUUGGAGUGAGCUGCCAGGCUGCAAGGGAUUGAAUCGAAAGCCCCCUAACAGUUAAAGUGUCCAUUAGCUUCUCUACACUUAGCAUCCGUCAGAGAGAAGACGGGCUGGGAGCCCCAGGCGAAUUUCUAACUAGCCUAAUGAGGAGAGAGAUUCUGGGAGCAAAAAAAGUUCAUUUGCUGAAUUUCCAGCAAGAAGUCACUUCAAUAUUGCUUCUAGGAAACACUGACAGGCUUUGUUGGUAAGAAAUCAUUAUGCUGAGAGAGAAAUGGGAUAUUGUUAUAUGAGGUUUUUAAAGAAAAUUCAUUUUGAUAGAUGUCUAACUGUGCAUUCAAUUAAAUUUCCUUCUCUUUCUUAAAAAUAGAUGUCAGGUAAUUGUACUCAAGUUCUGUAAGCUGAAAAGUGUUAUCCUUUCCUUCCAGUUAUUAAAAUUUCUUUAUCAAUAUGUGUCUUUCUUGUCUUAAUCCUUUGACUAUGGGGGGCCCUCAAUGGAAAUACAUGGAGUUCUCCCCUCCUUGCCUUGGA